UGGCCCCGUAGCUCAACUGGAUAGAGUAUCACACUACGAAUGUGACGGUUGCAGGUUCGAAUCUUGCCGGGGUCACCCA
rnacentral:tRNA from 1 species